UCGGACGUGGUGUAGUGCAACACGGCCUCUUUCUCUGCAGGAAUUGACACACACGUAUGCGGGAGGCAAUCCCGGGUUCAACUUCCGGCGUCCGAA